AAAAUGAUAUAAAAACACCAAAAAAAUAUAUUAAUUUUAAGUAAAGAAAAAAAUAAAAAAAAUUUAAUUUUUUUUAAAAGCGUUUUUGAAACGCAAAAACAAACAGAGCAUUAGACACCUUUGAGAAUAUGAUCCAAACCAUGUUUCAUACAAGUUUAAUUUUUUUUAUUUAAAUUUUUUUAUAUAUAUUUUAAGAUCUUUUUAAUAUGCCGAUGUUAAAAAUAAUUUUUUUAAAAAAUAUAUAUAUAUUAUUUUAACGUAUUUUUAAAUAAAAAACACUUUAAAAAUAAUCAUUACUACACUCUCAAACACCCUCCUUUAUCUUCACCCCUCGUAUGCCCAGACACAAUCCUAAUAUGAUCCUUGAGAGCAUGGUUUUGAAACCUGGAUCGGCCCAGCGGGUCAACCCGGGUAUGAAACCGGUCCGGGUCUAAGCAAAAACUCGCCUGGAAGUUGGUCCGGUGAAACCCAGUCGACCCGAGGGGUCGACCCGAGACCCGGCCGACCCGGGUAAACCCGGCUGAGACCCGGCUUAUUUUUCGUACUUUUUCACCACAACUUUGUAGAAGUACCAACAAAUGUAGAGGUCAUUCCAUGCUCUGCAUAUGCUAUAUUAACCAUUGAACAACAAAAAAGAGAAAAUAAAAAAACCUUUAGAGAAAUCCUCUGUAUAAAACCCAUCUUUUCAAUCUUCAAAGUUCAAAGCUAUAUCACUAUCAGUUGCAAUUCGCGAAGAAGAGCAGAGGAGCAAAAGACUUCAAGGCAACCCAUACCGGUUCAGAUCUGCGAGCAGAGUAGAUAAUCCUUCCUCCAGCUUCUCAUGACUCUCCUUCUUUCUCUUGCUCUCUCUAUUACAUUGUUCAUGCCGAUUAUGAUCUCUUAAACCACAAACAAACGGUGAAGACGAAACAAUCUCGAUCUGGGAAGAAGCCAUAAGUCUAAUAAUGAGACAUCACGACAUAGAAUAAAGUAAAUGCAACAAUUUUAUGCAUACCAUAAACGAGAUACAACCCAUUUUUCCAGAAAAAAAAGGAUGUAUGGGGGCAGGGAAAACCCAAGCGGUAAUUGUGGACCACAAAGAAACGUAUGAAUCUUGUUUUCAGGAUGCUAAACUAACCAGGGUUAGUAACCGGUGGUUAGUAACCACCACCAGCAAUAUAAGUCAUGCCUUGGCUUUUAUUUUCUAAUUUUAGGACUUUAUUGUAGAAAACUGUUGUGUUGCCUUAAAAACGAAUGGCAUGCCUU
rnacentral:lncRNA from 1 species